rnacentral:rRNA from 1 species
AACUUAAAUGAAUUGACGGGGGCCCGCACAAGCGGUGGAGCAUGUGGUUUAAUUUCGACGCAACGCGCAGAACCUUACCUGGGCUUGACAUCCCGAUCGCACCUUUUGGAAACUUAAGGGUCAGUUCGGCUGGAUCGGUGACAGGUGCUGCAUGGCUGUCGUCAGCUCGUGUCGUGAGAUGUUGGGUUAAGUCCCGCAACGAGCGCAACCCUCGUCCUUAGUUGCCAGCAUUAAGUUGGGCACUCUAAGGAGACUGCCGGUGUUAAACCGGAGGAAGGCGGGGAUGACGUCAAGUCCUCAUGGCCCUUAUGUCCAGGGCUACACACGUGCUACAAUGGCCGGUACAAAGGGUAGCAAGACCGCGAGGUGGAGCCAACCCCAAAAAGCCGGUCUCAGUUCGGAUUGGAGUCUGCAACCCGACUCCAUGAAGUUGGAAUCGCUAGUAAUCGCGCAUCAGCAUGGCGCGGUGAAUACGUUCCCGGGCCUU